rnacentral:piRNA from 1 species
UGAGCUUGAUGAAAUUUCAAA